CGCAAGCCUGACGGAGCAACGCCGCGUGCGGGAUGACGGCCUAAUGGUUGUAAACCGCUUUUCUCUGGGAAGAUGAUGACGGUACCAGAGGAAUCAGCCUCGGCUAACUCCGUGCCAGCAGCCGCGGUAAUACGGAGGAGGCAAGCGUUAUCCGGAAUUAUUGGGCGUAAAGCGUCCGUAGGUGGUUAUUCAAGUCUGCUGUCAAAGCGUGGGGCUUAACUCCAUAGAGGCAGUGGAAACUGGAUGACUUGAGUGCGGUAGGGGUCGAGGGAAUCCCCAGUGUAGCGGUGAAAUGCGUAGAUAUUGGGAAGAACACCAGUGGCGAAAGCGCUCGACUGGGCCUGCACUGACACCGAGGGACGAAAGCUAGGGGAGCG
rnacentral:rRNA from 1 species